GGAAGGAUCAUUACAAAUCCAACGUCUCCAUCCGAGACCCCGUUGAACUGUUCCCCAUGGUCAGACAUGUGGAGGGAAAGAGGAGGAGAGGGAGGAGAGAAGGGAGAGAACGCGUGUGUCCUCUCGAGGAUGCGCGAGGCUUCCCCUAAUCCCCCCCCCCUCCUCCUCCUCCCACCUGAAGCUUGACCAACCCCUUUAAACAACCUAGUGUGCUUGUUGCAUCAUGUGUAUCUUUGUGAACAACAACGAGAAACAACUUACAACAAUGGAUCUCUAGGCUCUUGCAUCGAUGAAGAACGCAGCCAAACGCGAAAUGUGUUAUGACUUGCAAUCUUCGCGAAUCAUCUAAUCUUUGAACGCAACUUGCACCCUCGGGCUUGUCCCUUGGGUAUACUUGUUUGAGUAUCGUCUAUGCUCUCACACCGCGCGUGCGUGUGUCCCUUGUGAUACGCGCACGUGUGAAUGUGGAUGUGAGGCUUGUGCAGAGGAGGGGUAUGGUAUCACACGGGGCAACUUGUGUGACAUCUCCCCUUGCUGCUGCUUCCAAAGGUAUGGUCUCUUAUGCUCUCUUCAUGAGCAGCCAAUAGACAAGCCGCGCCUGGGUGGUGUGUGGGUGGUGACACUCACACCCUCCUGGGAGCCAACUUGGGAUAACGUCCAUCAAGUUUGGUUGUGCUUGUCUCACGGCAGAAGGCCAAAGGAAAGCGCUUGUGGGUCACAUCGCGCGUCUCUCGAGAGAGGGACAAGAUGUGGCUCAUCAGGGGCACCGUUGACAACGAGACACACGAACAGCAACAGCAACACACACUCGUGUGCGUUGUCGUUCUUUUCGUGUGCCUCGUUGUGGACACAUUGACGUACCGAUCUCAAAUCAAGUAAGAUUACCCGCUGAACUUAAGCAUAUCAGUAAGCGGAGGAAAAGAAACUAACAAGGAUUCCCCCAGUAACGGCGAGUGAACCGGGAAAAGCUCAAAUUUGGAAUCUGGUGCCCGUCAGGGUGCCCGAGUUGUCAAUGAAAGGGUCAUCUUGUGCCGACCGGAAGAGUCCAAGUCCCUUGGAACAGGGCGCCAGAGAGGGUGAAAGCCCCGUGCAGGCUCUUUGACCCGGGAGGCAGGACCAAGGUGGCCCAACGAGUCGGAUAGUUUGGGAAUGCUGUCCUAAAUGGGUGAUACAUGUCAUCUAAAGCUAAAUAUGAGCAAGAGACCGAUAGCAAACAAGUACCGUGAGGGAAAGAUGAAAAGGACUUUGAAAAGAGAGUCAAAAGUACGUGAAAUUGUUGUAAGGGAAACGAUUCAUUCUGCGCCAGGACAGGACGUCCCAGGGGUGCGCGUCCGUGCGUGUGGCAACACAUGUGCGGGCGGGCGCCCUGUACCGCGACUCCUGACCCGGUUGAUCCGCUUACGGUGCCCUGCAUACGCGCCGCGGGAAGGUGGCUCCCUCCGCAAGGGGGGACGCUUUAUAGCCCGCGGGAGGCUGCAGGUGCUGGCCGCAAGUGUCCACGUUUGUGGAGGCAGGCAGCCUGGGCGCGCCGGGGCCAAUUUGGCCGUCCGGCGGUCGCCCAGCCGCUGUCCCGUCGUCAACGCUGUGGAGUGAACCGACCCGUCUUGAAACACGGACCAAGGAGUGCAACUCUGAUGCGAGUCAUUGGGUGGCAAACCCAGCGGCGCAACGAAAGUAAGCUUCGGCACGUCGGACAGGCCCAUCUCCGUGAGGAGGCAAGCCCCGCACGACGACCCGGUCCUGACCGCUGGUCUGGAUCGAGGUAGAGCAUCAUGGCUGCGACCCGAAAGAUGGUGAACUAUGCCUGACUAGGGUGAAGCCAGAGGAAACUCUGGUGGAGGCUCGUAGACAUUCUGACGUGCAAAUCGAUGUUCAAAGUUGGGUAUAGGGGCGAAAGACUAAUCGAACCAUCUAGUAGCUGGUUCCCUC
rnacentral:misc_RNA from 1 species